AUGUAAAGACCAUAGCCUUGGUUUUAAAAGCAAGUAAGAGAGGGCCAGACCUUCACCCAGAGGACACCGUGUGGUUGCAGAGGACAUGACAGUACUCAAGCCUAUUCUCCUUGGAGUCCCGCUGUGACCAGUUCCUCAGGUAAGCCGGUCCAGCCCGCCGUCUCCAGUGUGGCUGCAGUGGUGCUGAAGCCUGGCUGGGACCUGGAGGAGGAUAAGGCGGGUGGGCUGCAAUUACGCCAUACAUUACAGCAGUGUGAACACUUAUGUAAUUCGGAGAUGCUGAAAAAGUUACCCUCUCAAAUGGAACAUUUGGAUAACGAUCAAACUAAUGAUCCUAUUGAUAAAUUGUUUUCUCAAUGUGUUUCAGGACGUUCCAAGUCGCACUUCCAUCUUGGAACAUGACGUGGAUGUGGGGAAUGCUGCUCCUAUUCGUCAGCAUCCGUACCAGGAAAUGGCUUCCUGGAUUCCCCCAAGCAGCUGAUUGGAGCUGACCCUGCCCUCUCGUCAAAGGAUACGGCUGUCUGUAAUUGCAGACUCCUUCUCCAGCUUGAAAAGCCAGUGUUCCUUUGUUAGGGGGGAGCUGAUUGAUAUGUCCUGUGUUGGUUGUUGCUCAGAGACCUUCUUUGUCCUGUGUUGGUUGUUGCUCAGACAGUUUUUGUUAAGUAUUUUCUAGCUGCUGCUUCUGAGGUAUGUGUGUGCCAAUAGGACUGUGUUUUUGAAUAUUGAAAUUGUUUACUUACGUUUGUAUUCUGUUGUUUCCAGGGGGGAUGGGGGAAGGCACCUUGAGUGCUUAGGCAAGUCCUGCCCAUAGUAUGUCUGUCUAUGCACACUAGGUAAGACCUGGGUGGACCAUCCCCUGUAUUUUGGUUAGUGCGCCAGGUGGGGCUAGUUAGGUAAUUGUGGGUGGGUAGGUAAGGUAGGAGAAGGGGCUCUAACUUUUAAUUUCUUUGGUUCCGUCCAGCCCCUUUCCCCAUUAUUAUCCUGUGAAGGAAUAAAUAAAUUCCCUGUUAAUGGUAUAAUUCUUUUUCAGUCAUCCUUACCUGCACCUACAGUCACAUACCUCUGUCACGUCCUGACCAUAGAAAGCUUCUAUUUUUCUAUGGUAGAGUAGGUCAGGG